UUGUGUUUGAUUCUCAAGGAUCGUUUGUAGCCUUUCAGCUCCGUUUUCACUGUGGCUGAGAAUAUAAUAGGGUUGACUGUAGUGAGCGUCAACCCAUCUUGGUGAGGAGCCAAUUGGGGUGUCCCUCAAGUUCUCGUCUUGAAAGUCAUUUAAGAGUUUACUUGCCGAGUUUUGUCCCGUUUAUUCUGAGUGCAACACAAUUGUGAUUGGCUUGUAGGAUUAGGUUCAUUUGAUGGGUAGAGUCUAUAUGGCUGUCCAUCAGAUUAUAUUAGUGAGUUAAAAUUUUGCUCGCAGCCCUUUAUUAAUGAAAAUCAUUCAUCGUGACCCAUAAUCAUUUUCUCAGAACUGGUUUCUCAAACGAAAAGCAGCCCCUAUCUACAUAAGCGCAGGAUAUAUGCCGUGUACACUUGUGAUACCUAGAAGAGUAGCAUCCUUAAUUGAUUGCGUCAAAAGGAUGCUAUCCUUGCCUGUAAGUGGCCAGACUUGGCAAGUUGCACGGAGCAUGUCCUGCGGGCACCAUACUGAUUAUUGGUUCCGAAUUGGCUAUUAAUUAACUUCUAAUUUAUACAUACCACCCACCAGUAUAACCUCAAUGGCGUUGCCCAUCGUUCUGUUCACCCAGUUCCGAAUCUUGAAACUUGCACGACAAGAGUGAUGCCAGCAUCCAGAGUCACUGGCCAAUUGGGCGUGGCGAACAAGCGACGUGGAGCCACGACGUCUUUUUGAAUAUAAAAAUAGAACUUGAGUAAGAGCAGACAAAGGGAAACCAGUGGGAUUAGCGAUGGAAUAUUGUUCAGGGGCAUGUAAGUUAAAUGGACAGAAGAAUAGGAAGAUACUUGUGAUGUGAUGCACAGAGAGGGGCAGGGCGCCAUAGGAUGGUAUAUCUGAAUCCGGAUCUGUUGGCCGGGUGACGAGAGCAUAAGGCGGGUCUGAUGCGGCGGGCCCCGCUAGCUGUCUAGGCAUCAGGUGCUUCAUUGCUUUAGAAUUCUGCUUUAGCAUGGAGGUACUAUUGCAGCGUGGCUCCUGUUCAGCAACUCUUGUUCGCAGCGUCGACUUCGACUUCCAGGUCUGUCUGUCCGUGUCGCCUUCACUGUGGGAAUCACCCGUUGCCCCUCUUGCGGUCGAUUUCCUCCCUUUCCUGCUUCUCUUUCUCAGAAUUUGGUACGGAGGGAGGGAGAGAGGGCGGGAUCGAGACACCAUGGUGCAGACGUUAAUUGAUGGGGCCCUAGGGCUUGUUACCACUUUGGAGUUUUACAUGCCGGCUGCAUGUGAGGGGUCGAGCCCUCGUUGGUCUGGUGUGCAAUCCGUGAGGGUUGUGGCAGCCGUGUCGAGUGGGGCACCAGUACAAGAUGCUACGGCUGCUCCGCCGGUUCGGCGGAACUGCUAUCAGCUGGCACCGAGCACGCUGACGCUGAAGGCGAGGAAGUCGCGGAAGCGGGGGGGUGGAGGCCGGAGCAAUGGCGAAGGCGGCGAUGGACACGAUGGCGGAAAUGGGAACUACGGUGGAGAUGGAAGCUGGGGCGGGAGUGGCAAUGGCAAGGGAGGUUGGGAUUCUUGGGGGGAGAGUUGGGACGAUGACAUUCGGCCUUGGAAACAGGGUACGAGCGCGUUGGCUCUACUUUACCAGGCAGCAUGUUGGCUUUCAUUGUCAAACUGCUUGCACUAUGUGUUGACACUAGCAUUUCGUUGUCCAAACAUGUACUCCAUGUGGUUGUCGGUACUAGGUGUGUACAUAACUAUUUCUUUGUCCAAGUGCGUACACAAUGUUCUUUCAUUAUUACCCUAGGAUCGGGUUCGGAUCUGCUGCGUUGUGUCAGGGAGACGAGGUUCUGGUUGACAAGGUCGUGUAUUGUGGGAGCAGUGGUGCUCUCAUGUUGGUAUAAUGAAACUGGUUGAUUAGGUUCGUAGAUGUGGAUUCUCAUGGUUCGUGGCUUACAGAUCCUGGAAAGAGGGAUCUUUUGUUCACACCGACGAGACUUCCGUCUAUCAAUUGUACAUAUUCUAUGCAGGCACAGUCAUGAGUUCACUUAUGACUGCCUUCGACAAUCCGAUCGAUAUUGCAUUCCAAUGGAUAGAAUGAGAGGAUUCCCCGAUUCGUUGACAUCUAUUAUCGGCCUUGGCCGAUUUCUGUGGGUUACUAGUCGGCUGACUGUGCGUCUGAGUUUUGGAGGAGCGAAGCAAUCAACAUCGUUUCGGCACCGCUUUGACGGAGAUUUGCGCCUUCCGAAAUUACAUAGCGCUUCGGGAGACUAUUAAUCCUUAAACGGCUACUGUUUUCGCUGAUACUUUUUUGCUUUAGGAUUUUUUUUUUACUGAGAACACUCUCAGUAUUUUAUGUGCAUACUUUGUGCAUUAAUUAGGGUGGAUUGUUCGAUUGAUUAGGUUGUGAUCAACGACUGAAAAGUUAGGUUGUGAUCAACGACUGAAAAGUACUGUCUUUUUAGACCAUGUAAUUAUGAAAGUUGUACUGAGGCAGUUAAAUGUCAUAUGUAAUAUUUUCAUCGUCUCUGUAUAUUUGCAUAUCAUUGUUUUCGUCACACUUUCCAAGCAUUGAAAUUCAGUAUUUUUUUAAUGAGAAGGUGUUUUAAGUUUUGUACAAUUCCAGCAUAGGAACUCCUGAAAACCAGGUUAGUGCAUCGUUAUGUUCCUAUAUACAGAUUCACACAUCUGACCUGCACAUUUGUGGCGAGGUAACGCUUUGCCGCAGAGGUCACAGAACGUUUAGAGGGCACCGUUCAUUUACAUGUGUCUACGAAUUAGUCUUUUAAUUUGAGGGAAUCAAUUGCUCUUGUACCUUUUUAACUUCAUAGUGCUAAUUGUUUUUGUACAUGGAGAAUUUUUUUGUCUCAAUGUAUGUCCCUGACUGUUGUAGAAUCCAAUCCAGAGUUUUGAUUUAUCCUCAGGUCUGAUUUUGAACGUAUCUCACGAAGAGGUCUGUUUUUUGCUUACAUUUUCACGUCAGCAGUUUCGAUGCUGAUACAGUAGUCUAUUUUCAUUUUCAGCUGAGCUUGGUUGAUCAUGAAGCAGCAACUAAAUACCCUAGAGCUAAUGUUGGCCAUUCGUGGUGUCCUGUGUGUGUGAUUGAUGGUAAAGAAUGUCGUAAUUUAGGGUAAGAAGUGUGGUAAGCACUUGAUAACUCACCUAAUUUUAGAACCUCUCCAGUAUGGCUUUUGUACAUAUUAGUCUUGUGCAGUUACUCGACUCUGAAGAAGAAGGUUUAGUGUGAAUCAUGGAUAUACUGGUAUGGGAAUAUACGUAGUUUGAGAGUGUUCAUCUUACAAUUAUUCCAUGUUUGAAAGGAUUGUUCUUGAUUUUAAUAUAUAAAUCUCUUAAUUUCUGCUUUGCUUGGUAGGGUUCCUCGAUUUUGAUAGCAGCUGUCAGGUAUUGUUGGUGUAAUCAAUAUCUUCUGGUACUAUAGGGUAUGUACGUCUACAGCGCCACAUGAAAGUGAUGAGUAGUUAAUUGAGAUACUUUAGAAGAUUUAUUUUUUUCCAAGAUCUUACUCCAAAAUCAAAAUUUACGAAUUAUGGUUAGGAAGAAUGUUCAUAGAUGUGUUAAAAAUUUAUUAUGAAAUCUUGCAGCGUCUGGUUUUUUGUCUUCUCUUUAAACUUAGCAAAUUGAGUUUCUGUUUUUGCACUACUCAUUGAGUCGUGAAGGGCUAUUGACGAGAUGAUCAAAACAUUCUCUUGCAUCCCUGAGAAAAUUGUAACCACAUUGUACGGCAUUUUGGAUUGGUGCAGUAAUGGGAGAAAGUGAUUUGACCCAAAAUAAGUUAACUUUCCUCAAGCUGAAAUUACAUUUAGAGUGGAGGUCAAUGUAGUGCUAUAGAGGUAUGAGCUAAUCAUAUGAAUGUGUCUACAUAUUACACAGUAUUUUAGUAAUUUAUUUUGAUGUUUUAUUUGGUGAUAAUGUUAGUAGCUUAGACAAAAAUAUAUAAGCUUCAAAAAAUUAUAAAAUAUAGAUGUUCAAUGAUAAUUAUCAUGGAUAUAAAGUUGCACAAAUUAUUAUACUUUUUAGGUUGUAAAAAUCUUUGAUAUUAAAAAAAACUUAUGUUUUAAAAUCUUUAUUGAAAAUAUAAAAAGUGAGGAAUUUAUUAGCAUUUAAAAGUGUAUGUGAAUGACCAUAAAUAUCUCAUGUGUCUGAUUUAGAAUCACAUAAUAGAAAUUUAACCCAAAAGAAGUUUUAGUGCUAAUUAAGAUAAACAAAUAAAAUAAAGUAAAAUAAAAGCUUUAUUUAGAAUUAUAAAAAAUAUAUAUAUCAAAUCUGAUAUAGAAUAUUAUUACAAAAAAUCACUUUUAUUUAUAUAAUCCAAGAAAUUUGGUUGUAUCUUAAAUGAAAUCAAGGUUCUUUGUAAUGCAAUUCUAAACCUUCAAAGUUACAAGAUAGAAUGACUAUAUUCCAUUGUGAAGGUAAAAUUCACUCUUCAGCCUAAAAUUAAAAAUGGCAUCAAUUAAGAUUUGCUUAUAAUUGGUGGUGUAAAGCAAAUGAUACAAUUAAUAAAAAAAAUGAAGAACAAGCACAUAACAAAUUAAGGAUAUGCAAUCAAGUAUUUACACCUUCUAAAAACUAGUCAUAGUUUGUUCAUAGGGUUUUUAUCUAAUAAAAAUAUGUAUAUAUAUAUAUAUAUAUAUAUAUAUAUAUUUCUAAAUAAAUAUUUUAUUAUCUUUCUAAUGGCAUAAAAAAUAUAUAAAUCCAAAUUAAUAUGAAUAACUUAUGAAGGUUUAUGAAAGAAAUAAAAAAAUAGAAAAAUUAAGUGAACUUGUAAUAUCUCAAAGAUAACUUGUUUAAGCAAUUAAAAGCUCUAGCAUCACUAAGGUUUACAAGUAUUAUAUAUAGAUGUCUUUGAGUGGCCACGAGGCUUUAGUCUUAUCCUCUUACCUACAUCUAAGGUGCUACAACCCACAUGGGACAUGUGCCACCUCUAUUCUUACAAUUCCUAUACUAGUUAUUGGACUUCCUAUUUUGUACUAGUAAAACCAAUUCUUUUAUAUUUUUGACUUCACCAUUGUAUUCAAAAACGCCCAAUUAGUAUUGUGACCCUAAAAAGGCCUUCAAAUCUUGCUCAAAUUUUUAAUAAUGACCCCCCAAAGUAAAAAUAUUUUUAUAAAUAUUUUAGAAAAGAUACUCAAAUUUUUUAAAUAAUUUUAUAUAUGAAUUCCAAAAAUAUUCAUAAUUUUUUUAAUACUAUUAUUAAUUUUAUUAUUCAUAAUUUUUUUAAUACUAUUAUUAAUAAAAGAUCCUCAAAAAUAUUAUUUUAUUAAAAUAGUAUUAAAAAAAAUUAAUAAAAGAUCCUCAAAAAUAUUCAUAAUUUUUUUUAAUACUAUUAUUUUUUAUAUCUUAUUGAUCUAUUGAUAAUAAUAGAAUAAAUUUAAAUUAAUUAAAAAAAUUAUUUUUAAUAUUAAUAACUAAAAAAAUAUUUGAUUCUUUUUCAUGCUUAUUCUAUCUAUUAACUAAUAUUUAUAAGUUUUUAAUAAAUAUUACAUGUAGAUAAAAGACAAGUUUACAUAUUGGCCUCAAUAACUACAUUCUAAUUCAUACAACUAAAAAAUAAGAUUAAACGAACUAAAAUAAUUAUCUCCAAGACCUACUAAGACUUCAUUUUUUAUGAUUUUUUGAUUAAUAAGACUCUUAUAGCUCAUAAAUAUUUCUAAAUUCUAAUAAAUAAUCAAAUAACUAAAUAGUCUUAUUAAACUUAAUAUUUUAUUUCUAAAAAAACUUGAAAUCUUAAACAUAAUAAUUUUAUUAAUUAAGAUACAUUGAUAAGACUUACAUCUAUUUAUAAACUUAAUAAUUUUUUAUUGCUCAUAAAAGAUCCUUAAAAAAUCACCUCUCUAACAUUUUAUUAGUCAAAUUUGGAAUAAUUUAAAAUCAUUAGGUUAAUAUAAAAAGAUAUUUUAUGGUUUUAAAGUUUAUUUUUUAUAUAAUAUUAUAAUUAAUUCAAUAUUUUUAAAUAUCUUGUAUUUUAAUUUAUUAUUGAAUUAAAAUUAAAAUAUAUAUCUAAGAGAAUGUUAAAUAGACGUAAGCUUUUACUAAAACUUUUCCAUCCAUCCUAACCAUCAUAAAAAUAAAAAUGACCUCUACAUUCAUUUUUUACUAUUAGAUAUAGAACUAAUGAAAAUCAACCAUAUUCAACAUGAUUAUUAUACUCUUUAUUAUGAUUACCAUCGUGACUAGAAGGGUCUAUUUAAUAUAUAUAUAUAUAUAUAUAUAUAUAUACAUACACAAAUUUCUAAUAAAUUACAAGAUUUUUAUUUUUUUAUUUUUAAGAUCUAUCAAUUUUUUUAAUAUAUUUAGAAUUAUUUGUUAUAAAUUUUUUCAUUAUUCAUUAUCAUGUUAUAAUUUUAUAAUUUUAAAAAAUAAAUUAAAAUUUUAGUAAUAAUAUAAGUAAAAUGUAAUAGCUUAUUAUACACAUUAUUAUCAAAGAUAUAGAUUUCUAAAAAUAAUUUAAUUAAUAACUAGAUUAUAUAAUUUAAUAUCUUAUAUCUGAUUUUAAAGAUAUAUUUGAAUCUUUUGUUAAAAAUCUCUAUAUGUACGUUAUUGAUUAAAUUUUUAUAUAUUUAUAAUUUUUUAUUUUAAUAUAAAGAUUAUUUUUAAAAUAUUUUUGAAUUAGAUUGGUUGAAAAAAUUCAAUAUUUGAUUAUCAAACGUUAUUAAAAAGAAAAAAAAUCAUACCUUAACCAUCUAAUAAAAUAAUCAAAAUUAUAUUUUAAUUAUCUAUUCAUAAGAACUACAUGCGAUAUAUUUAACAAAAAAUUCAGAAAAUGAUCAGUUAAGAAGAAAAUUGUAAAAUAUUCAUGAAAUAGAAUAAUACAAAAUGAUAUUAAUUUUUUUUAUUAAAAUAUAAUUUAAGAAUAAAAUUUUACUGUGAGAUUUUGCAAAAUAUUUGAUUUAUACAAAAUAAUUUUACUUGUGCAGUAUUCAGGAAUAUAUAUAUAUAUAUACAUAUGUGUAUUUUAUAAUCCUUUAAAAUUUGUAAAUACAGCUCAAAUCUGUUUGUAGUAGACAUUGAUGUAUUUAGUUUCCUAUGCUUUUAUAUUGUAAAACGUAAAGUCAAGUUGGUAAUUUUAUGAAAGUACAUCAUAACAGAUCGAAAAUACCUUUAUUUUUACUUCAAAUAAUUUUAUAAAUGGAAAAUUUUAUAUAUUGUUAAUGACAUAUUCUAUAAUCUUCAAUAUAAUUGAAAUAUUUAUCAAUAAAGAAUUAAGUUAUAUUUAUAUUUAUUUAUUUCUAUAUUAGAUUUUUUAAUUUUUUAUCGUAAAUCUAAUAUUUUUACACCUAAAAUUUUAAAUAAAGUAUUUAUUCAAUUCAAUAAUAAAAAAUAGAUAAAAUAUUAAAAUAAAUAUAUUUAUUUUACUAUAGCUAUAAUACUGAAUGUAAUAAAACAGCAUAACAACAAAACUAAGAAAGGUUUUUCACAUACAUAAAGAAUAAUAAUAAUAAUAAUAAUAAUAAUACUAAGUUUAAAAUUAAACUUUUUUUUUUUUUUUUUUUUUUUUUUUUUUUAAAUCUAUCUAUCUAUCUAUCUAUCUAUCUAUCUAUAUGUAUAAAUUGCUAAAAUAAAUUAUAGAUAAUAUUUUCCUAUUAUAUUUAUUAGUUGGUUUUUUUAAUUCAAGUGAUCUUUUGUUAAAUGGCAUAAUAUCAGUUUUUUUUUAUUAUUUUUUUUGUGGAAAUAUAAAUAUUAGAAUUCCUAGUAUUAAAAAUUAAUCUACAUAAUUUUAAUGGUGCAUAAUUUUAAAUCAAAAAGAACUUUAAUAUAAUUAAAAAUAAGAUGAUUAAUAAUAAAAGCCCCAAAUCUAAUGAAAAAAUUGCACAGGUAGAUUUUAUAAGAAUUAUUUUAAUGAAAUUUCUAAAAUUUUAAAGAUAGAAUUUUGAUACAUAUUUUUCAAAUUAUAUAAAUAUAUUUUUCAAAUCAUAUCUUUGAAUAUCAUUAAAUAAAAGAUUUGUACUUCAAUACAACUUCGAUUUUUUUGGAUAAAGAUGGUUUUUCCAUUUUUUAAAUUAUAAUAUUUACUUAUUAGUCAUAUAGAUUCUACCAAAUUAUUUCUAAGAUUAUUGUUAAGAUAAAUUGUAAUUCUUUUAGAACAUAAACAGCCUCUUAUGCUUUAGAGAAUAGAAAAAAAUCAAUGUAAAAAUAAGAAAAUAUUAAAUUCACACACCUUUGCUAUUACUAUCAUGUACCAUAUACCAUGUCAUAUAAAAGCAAACAUAAGUUGAUUUAAGAUUUACUUGGAUUGAUUUUUGAUCCUCUCAAAGAUAAUUCUUAAUUGCUCAAUCAACACAAUAUUUAGAUUUAUUUUUAAAAAUAAAAUUAUAUUAAAAAGUUUUUUUUUACAUAAAUAAUAGAUAUCUUUGUUUAACAAUAUAAUUAAAUUAAAAAACUAAAAAAAUAAUAAUUCUUUAUUUUUUGAUAAAUAAAAUAUUAAUAAGAAGAAUUAAAAUGGAUUGAUAAUAUUUUUUAUUUUUUAAUUAAAUUACCUUGAAUUUUUUGUAGAAUAUUAUUAGUUUUUAUCAAGAAAUCUUAUAGAUUAGCAAAUUUCUAUGGUAGUAUAAAAAAUUCUUUGAUAAUUGCAAUAAUUGUAGAAAAAAUAGUAUUUUGGAGAAACUAAAAACUUACAAUAGUUUAAUUGCUGAAUGACAAAUUGUCACAAACAUAUGUAUUUACUUCAAUAAUUAUCUAUAUGAUUAAGUAGAAGUAGGUAAAAAUAAAUUAAUUCCAUAAUAUAUUUUAGAGAAGCUUUCUAAAAGCUUCGUAGAUGAUGCUUUGAUUUUAUACGUGUUUGUAGUUAAUUAAUAGGUUAGAAACUUGGUCAAUAAGUUAAUCACAUAUCACAUGUGUUGAUAGCUUAUAGAACAAGCUAACUAUAUGGUGUACAUAUAGAAAACUUACCUUACUAGUUAAGAUAUAUGUCUUGUAAAAUCAACAUGUGUGAGAGGUCCUAUAGAACAUUAAUACAUAGCUCCUAGUUAGAUAAUAUAUAUGGAGGCAAGAGUGAAGCAUUCUUCAUUCUUGUCUAUGCCUUUCUAGUUUUUAGUCUUGUUUCAAGACUUUCUAGUCUUCUUAUCUUUGGUAAUAGCCAUUCUAGUUUAAUAUAUUACUAUUUUUUAAUGAUUUUUUAAUCUUUUUGAGUAAUAUAAGAGUGUAUUGAAUUUUUAUUUUUUGACAUUCUUGUCUUUGACAAAAUUAAAUAUGGCUAUAGCUUGUGUAAUUUUAUUGUUUUAAAAUAACUCAAAAAAAAUAUGUCAUCAUCCAAUUUAUCAAAAUUAAUUGAUAUUUUUUAUUUAGAGUUUUAGAUAUUAAGUUUUUGUUGUUGUUGUUGUUGUUGUUUUUUUUUUUUAAUCAUUUUUUUAUAUAUUUAUCUUCUUGCAUUAAAUUCAAUAUCUUAUCAUUUUUUUUAUUCUGUAUAUCAAUUUUGAAAUCUUUAAAAAUCUAAGAUUUAAAUUUUAACUAAAAAUAAUCUUAAAAUUGAUUAAGAUUGUGAAUUUAUAUAAAUUUCUUGUGAUGAUGUAGAAUUUGAAGUUAAAAUUAAGAUUUAUUGGAUUUUAAAUUUAAUGAUUUAUAUUUAGGAUUCAUUUAAUUUUGAAAAAAUUAUAGUAAGAUUAUUAGUGCAAUUUUACACUAUGGCCUUUUGGUCAUGUGGACCUUAGACAACUCCACUUAAAAUGGGACAAAAGACCAAUAUAAAAUUCUAUUAAAACAUAAUAAAUAUGACCUUUGGCUUGUUUGCUUGAUUAUAAAUUGAGUUUCCAUUCAUGCCCAAGCUAAUUUCUUAUCAAGCAAACAACUCCUUGGUGCCAAAAUUGUCACAAAGUGUUGCCAUAUCAAAACUUUUGACCAAAAUGUCUAUUGGCCAUUUGCCUCUAGUAUGAAGGCCAAAUGGUCAUUUUUUUUGUCUAUUACUAAACAAUUAAAUAUAGUGUGAAGUAGCCUUUAGAAGUUGGAUAAUAUUAAGGUCAAUAAGAUUGCAGAGCAUUUACAAAUACUUGUGUAAUCGUAUAUAAAGCAAAAUAUGUUAUGAAGGGAGAGUGAAAAUGGUGCGAAUUAAAGAUCCUUGAUGAGAGCAGGUGAUCCAAUAUUUUAAGGAACGACCUGCAGUGAGUCCCAAAGCAACAAUUGGAAGUGUGCAGGAUUAGCGCAUGCAUGAGAGAGAGGACAUGAUGAUGAGAGACAACAUGGAUUGGGCGGAGGAGGAGCCAUACUUGUCCAUGCUGCUGAUUGUACGAGUUCUUGCUGCAACACGUAGUCGGAGUGAGUAUCUGGUGAACGAGAUGCCAUGCUUGCAACGCCCUUCGUUGAUCACUUCGUGUUGUGCUGCUCCUACUUUUAGAUCCACUUUGCCAGCGAGGAUGUGCUGGAAGAGAAUUUGAAGGCGAUAUUGCACCGGAUAUAUGGGGAGUUCAUGGUGCACAGGCCAUGCGUUCACAUGAGGAUACACAAUAAGUUUAUAUUUUUAAUUCAGAUGUUUAUAUUUGAGACGGAGAAGCUCAACGGAACCGGAAGAAUCUGCAGAGAAGCUGCAAACAGUGGAGCACAGUGGAGUAGCAUAGGGAGGGAUCUCUCGUAGUUGCCCAUGCCACUUUUCUAUCGUCAUGGAGACCGUGGAGCACGACGGGAAGCGCAACGCAAAUAGAGUGGACCGAGCUCCAUGGCCCACAAGCUGGUUUGGUGACGUCAAACUCGGUGGGUAGGAGCCAUCAGACUUCUCUUUUAGUGACUUAUGCUUUGACGACACCCUUUCCGUGCGCAUGACCAAGGCUAGUUUUGACCAGGAGUACAACAUUCGCCCUUUCACCGUCUUUCGGUGAAGGCCAAGGUGGGAUGUUCCACCCAAGAUGUCCCAUGUGCCGUAGACUUGCAGCAAUCAAUCUGAACGUUUGGCAGCAUUGCAGAGCUGGAUCGUCAGCAUCGAAUGUCACGGUUAUGAAGUAACUCAAUCAACCACCCAAGGGGUUUGUUGCUCUUCGAGCAUGUACAAUUCUGGCUUCCCUCACCUGGAGGGACCUGAGAAUAUUCUGCUGCUGCUCAUUUGUCUUCCAUUCUUGCCAUCAAAUGCUUGAUAAUGAGGCUCAUGUGCAGCAGAUCCACAAGCUGCCGAUGCUGAUAUGGAUGCUGCAAGGAGUACAAAAACAUUAGGCUUCCAGGCACUUCUGCUGCAAGGGGCAUGAAGUGUGCACUUGGUUGUUCAAGUCCGCUGCAAAAUUGCUUUGUCAGAUUUGGAUUUGACAUUAGAAAUCUAGUUCCUGGGAAGUCGAUUUAGGUUUAGAACGAAAAUAAACCGGUGCAAAAUUUUGUAUAUUUGGAAAGUUUUAAAACCAUGGUGAAAAUAAGUAACACUUUCCAAAUAUACAAAAUUUCUCAAUGUGUUAUAUGGAUCUAAACUAGUGUAGAUAUUGGAUUUAUUUUACUUUUUGUGCCUCAAGUAUCAGACUGUUAUUUAGGUACUGAUUAUUUGAAAUUAUUUGAAAUCAAACAAUGUGGUUUGUAUUGAUUCAUAGGAGCUCUCUUGCUUUGAAUAAUGGCCUUUCAAUGUGAAAUAUUAUUUUUUGAAUUUAAGUGAAAGUAUUUGUUUGUUAUCAAAUGUUAGAUAGAAUAGGAUACUAAAUUAUUUAGAAUUUAAUCAAUAUUUAGCUCUAUUUUUUCAUUAAAAAUUUUAGAAACUUUUAAAUAAUUUGAUUUCUUUUUCCUUUUUUCUUUUUACUAUGCUAUUGUAAACAAAGAAGGCACUUAAGGUUUUAUGCAGGAUAAAAACAAAGUUUUUUCUCAAAUUGAAAUUUGUAUGAAUGAUUCUUUUAAUUAAAAAAAGUUUUAUUAAGAAUAAAAAAAUAUUCUAACACAAGCUUUUGGAUUCUUUUAGAAUUAAAAAUAAUGCAUGAAAUUAAUAUAAUAUUUUAUUUAAUUUUAAGAUGUAAAAACAAAGAUAUCCAAAAAUAUAAAAUUUAGUUUUAAAAUCUAGAAGAACUUUAAAGAAAAAAUAAUUAUAUAAAAAAUUAUAUAUAUUUUAACAUAAAAAAUGUAGAUUUAAAAAUAAAUAAAAUAUCUAUUACAAAGAAAUCUUAAUUACAAUAUAAUUACUUUAAGAAUAAUCUCUUAAUAUGAGCUAAAUCUAUUAUAUUUUGACAUAAAUAGAUUUUGAUAAAAAUGGUUGAUUAUAAAUAAUUGAUUUUUUUAAGAGAUCUUAUAAUUGUCACAUAAUUGUUUUUAUAGACCAAUACUAUUAUAUUGAAGACUUAAUACAUGUAGCAAUAGACAACAUUUUUUUUACAUUAUUGUAAUUCAUUCUAUUCCUACUAUAAUAUAUAUAUAUAUAUAUAUAUAUAUAUAUAUAUAUAUAUUACAGAUCUUGAUCUUGCCCUUAUAAAAAUUAUAUCAAAGAUUUAACAUCAAAUUCUCUUGUUGUAUUUAUUAAAUGUGUUUUGAUUCUUCAAACAUAAUAAUUGAAUAAUAAUUUUAUUUUAACUAAAAUAACUACUACUUAUUAAAUAUUUUUGUGGUGAGGUUCAUAGGAAAGAACUACCAUAUAAAAACAAUUUGAUAUAAUUUUAAAAAAAAAAAAAAACUAAAUGUAACAAUAAUUUAAAAAAAUAUAUAUGUUAUAAUAAUAUAGAUUAUGUAUUGGAACAAUGUAUUUGAUGUCAAAAUCUCUAACUUUGAUGACAUCAUCAUCACAAGUAGUAGAAUAUUAUUAUUGCAAGAUAAACAACUACUACCAUCUCACAAAAAAUUAAAAUAUUUGUAAUGGUAUUUUCUUUUUAUUUCUAUAAAAAAUAAAAAAUAAAAUGUUUUAAGCAAAAUUAGAAAUUAUACAGGCAUACCUCAAUGUUGCAAAGAGUUUCUAAAUGGCCAAAAGUUUCUUAAUUGAGUGGUAGGUUUAGAAUGAAAAUUGCAUGCAAAUAUUAUAAAAGCUGGUCUAAAUAUUUUAAUUUAGUGACAAUAUUAAAUGAUCAGAAAUUUAAGACGAUUCUUUAAAAUUACAUGUACAUUUAUGUUCAAUGUAUCUUGAUGAUGAAAAAUAUUUUUUAUUUUUAUUUUUAUUAAUCCACGUAUAAUUUUUAGUCAUAAUUAUGAAACCAAUACAUUUUAAAACCUCCUUAUAACAUGCACCAAUGUUCGUAAAUAUAAUUGAUUUCUCAACUUCUUUAUUAUGAAUAGUAAGAUUUUCAAUAGAAUAAUUUUUCAAUCUUUUUAUACUAUAUUAUGAUUCUUUUAUAUAUAUAUAUAUAUAUAUAUAUAUAUAUAUAUUAAAAAACCAUUAUUAUUCUUAUAUGUUUGAUAAUUUUUUCAAGUAUAUUAUAUUAUACAAUAAUAUUUAUAAAUAUAACAAACUAUUUAGCUUACUUAUAAUAUAUAAUAUUUUUUAUAAAUUCAAUAAAAUUUCUAAUCCACAUUCAAGUUAUAUAUAUAUAUAUAUAUAUAUAUAUAUAUUUUGUUAAAUAAUUUUAUUAAUGACACAUUAAAUAUUACAUGUAUCUUAUGUAAUGAAUUCAAUUUAUAUAUUUGAAAAUAAUAUUUUCAUAAGAAUUAAAGAAUAUAAGAAAUAAAAUUUUUAUCAUUUAAAAUAGACAAUAAUUUAUCAAAAUUAUUUAAUAAGUAUUUUAAUUUCAUAACCUAUUAAAUUAAAUAUUAAAAUUUAAAAAAUAUAAUUUAUCAAAGAAGUUCAAAAAAGUUUUUAAUUUUAUAGUGUGAUAUAUUAAGCAUUAGAGACAAACAAGUUAAAUAAUUUUAAUAUGUUUUUCACUUACACAAAUGUAAUAUAUUAUGUAUUAAAGAUAAGAAGUUAAGCACAUAACAUAUGCCACAACUUAUUUUCAAUUCAACAAGCUUCUCAGUCUCACAAUGUGAUAUAUUAAAUAAUAGAAAUAAAAAGUUUAAUAUUUAAUAAAUUUUAUAAAUUAUUGAAUAAAGUCAAGCAACUUGUUAAUCUCAAAGUGUGAUAGACCAAGUAAUAAAAAUUAGAAGAUUAACAACUAACACAUGCUAUAACUUAUCAAACAACUUUUUUAAUCUUAUGAUGUAAAAAAUCAGAAAUAUAACAUUCAAUGCAUUCUAAAACUUAUCAAACAAAUUCAAGCAACUUUUCAAUAUCAGAAUAUCAAAUAAGAAGUAUAUACAGCAUACAAUGCAUACUACAACUUAUUAAACAACUUCAAGAAACAUUUCAGCAUCAAUGCUAGAUAAGAAGUUGCAUACUACAACUUAUCAAACAACUUCAAGAAACAUUUCAACAUCAAUACUAGAUAAGAAGUUGCUUCUACAACUUAUCAAACAACUUUAAGAAACAUUUCAGCAUCAAUGCUAGAUAAGAAGUGCAUGCAACCUACAAUGCAUACUACAACUUAUCAAACAACUUCAAGAAACAUUUCAACAUCACAGUAUCAGAUAAGAAGUGCAUAUAGCCUACAAUGUAUACUACAACUUAUCAAACAAGUUCAAGAAACAUUUCAGCCUCACAAUAUUAGAUAAGAAGUGCGUCCAACAUUCAAUAUCACAAUGUUAAACAAGCUUCUCAAUUUCACAAUGUGAUACGUCAAAUAUUAGAAAACAGACUCAAUCACAACAAAAGAACUCAGAUAUCAGAAGGGCAGAACUUAAAUCUUAUUGCAUGCUACAACUUAAUAGAUAGCUAUCAUGAUAAGCUUCUGGUUUGUAUAAGUAAGAAUCAAUCAGUGUUGUAAAAGUAAGGGUUUGACUUGUGUGUAAGUCGAAAGAAGCAAUCAGCAGAUCUAAUAGAGGCAACUGUCAAGGGAAUUAUACAUCAUCUUUCAUAUUAAAGAUUACUUACAGUAAAGUUCAGUACCAUGAACUUCAAACAGAUGUACUUGACGUUGACGUUCUGCAGAGUUGGAUAUACAUCAGAAGCGCAAACAAUCAGCAUGAGUUUGUUGACAGAUAGGAUGUCUGCAAGUGCAGGAACUUGAUACUAAUUUCGAGUUGGGAUGCAGACUUGCGACCUAUUCAGCAGGUAGGCGUUCCAAAAAUCAGAAACUCUCUGGAGAUUAUUAACUGGAGCUGCAUAAUUCACAAAGGCUAGCAACCGCUUGAUAUCUCUUGAGAGGCAGAUUCAGGAGAUACAGACCGAAUCCUAGUUACUUGGUGAUCCCAACAACUCAGAGGGGCCAAAGGUCGGAACUGCCGGAAGGAGUCCGAUGCUUGGGGAUUUGAGGAAUCGUGACAUCUGAUAUUGAUGGACUACAUUCCAACGCUGAGCGCACUGGCCAUUUCCUGGACUGCUGAUUGAUCGCAUAUGAUACAUGUUGCUGACGGAGCCACUGCAAUGUCGACACGACUCUGCAUCAGUCCAUGCCGUUGCUGCCCGUUACGAGAUAUUCCUGCCUUGUUCCUCGUGGUCCGCAGUGUGUGUCGCAUACGGCAGCUGACUAUCAGUCGAAGGAAUCAGUUGCAAGUGACCACAAAGUUCCCCAAAGGCUUCUCGGUGCUGGAUGCGACACGAAUACGCACCUUCUUUUCUUUUGUUUUCUUUUUCCUUAAGGUAAACAGAAUCUAUUCCAGCAGCAGUAUACUCGUACAACUACAGUCAUAAUGGCGAUUGUCAUUUAUCUCACUGGUGCAAUUUGCCUCGCAAUCUGUUUAGCUCCAUCAUUGCAACCCCCUAGACCCACUAGUGAUUCCGUUAUUAGUUGAUUGCGCCACUGCAGGGGUCACAUGUACAGGAUAUACAUGACUUGACGAGAGACAAACCAUCCAUGCAACAGGUCAUUUUUGGAAGCAACCAGAGUGAUGACAUUUUCAACGAAAUUGGGGUCCCAUGAUCGCCGGAAACGACUUGAUAAAGACAGCACUACAGUCUGGAGAUCAUGCACAUGUGGAUUCACGAGUCGCUCUUGAUUAAAGUGUGAUUCCGGCUACAAUGCUACACUCUCCGGCUACAAUUUGAUCUUCAUUUGUUUCUUUUGAUUUUUUUCCCCUAAGAGCCAAAGGCUGUCAUUGCAGACGGCAACCAGUACAAAGAAUGUCCAAAGAAGCGGUCACAGAGUUUUAAGGAUCCUAACAAAGGCAUUCUCCGCACUACUGAGAACCAUUUCAUGACAGUCACUUUGUGUUACAGUGUGGACUCAGCAAGACAGACUUUCUCUUUACUUCAAGCUGGCAGGUUGUACCACGUUACUGUCAUUGCAACUUCUCUCUGGAUGGAGAGGUAGGGCGCCCAUAAUUGUAAAAUUCUCGCUGUCUUGGCAUCAAUGAGUGGGUAGUCUUUCCCAGUGUGCACGAGUUAUUGUAGGAGAAAGAACAGUUUGCCACACUAUUCACCCAUCCUUGCUUUUGGAAUGUAGUCCAUCAAUAUCAUCCUUCCAGCAGAGCUAAUUCAAAUUCUUUGCAUCAAUCUCUCCAGGGUCAAGGCGACCAAAUCAUUUUCAUCCUGAAAUCUUUGCUUAUCUCAUGCCACACAGAACCUUAAAAAAAUUAUUCAACUAUUUGUUUGUGAUAUCUAACCAUAACUGCCCAGAUCUUAACUUGUAUUAAAGACGAGUUUUCAACCACACAUUGCAGACAUUAAAAAUUGUCUCCUACUUUUUAAUUGCUCACUGGUCUAUGUUAAUAGUAUGAUGGGUACAAAACUCAAAGAGAACUUCAAAAUUCAGAAUGAUUGAAAGAUCAGAAAUUUUUCAGAGGUAUGAACGAGCUUAAAAAAGUAAACUUGUCUCAUGAAUAGAAAAGUGAUGAUUAUCAGAACGAUAAUUCAGAAGCUGCCAACAUGUUUGUUGAUUUGCAAGAUCACGUUAUCCGGCUGAAAUUAUGUUCAUGAUAAGUAUAGUUUCAAAUUCUUUUAAACACUCAAUUUGAUAUAUAUAUAUAUAUAUAUAUAUAUAUAUAUAUAUGUGUGUGUGUGUGUAUGUAUCUAUGGGACAAUUCAUUCUUAAAAUCAAUGUAAUAAAUGAAUAAAUGAAUAAUUUAAUAAAUUGAUAACAAGAGCAAGUUUUGGUGGAAGGUUUUCUGUCAAUGAUUUAUGCAACUCCAAGCACUGCACCCAUAGAAUCCAUAGACUGAAUUAUAAAGAGGGUUUUUCGUAGUAUCUCCUAAUUAACGAUGUGUUCAACAUCCUAUCAUCUUAAUUAAAAUGAAUGAAUUUACAAUUGAUGUUGGAAUGAAUGUUGAAUGGAUGAAUGAAUAUAUUACAUUACUUUUUAUUCUUAUGAUCAACUUUUGUUAAGUGAUAUGACUUGGUAAUCGGUGAGAAUCGAAAUAAUUAUGUUCGACUGUAAAUAGUAAUAUGGUUUUAGUAGAAAGUUAUAUGGAAAUAUUUUACCGCAAAUUUGCUUAAAUAUGCUUCGUACACAUAAUGUCAACAUUUCUUUCUUUUCUCCCUCUUUUAUCUAUCUUUUUCUUUCUCUCUUUCUUCUUCGAUUUCUUUAUUUGUUUAUUAAUGCAAGUUUUCCUCAUCUCUUGGGGUUCCACCCAUGUGUAACCAAGAUCAUCCACACUGGUGCACCGCAUAUGGUCCAUGCACGGCAGGGAGAUGGAAACUAUGUGUCAGCAUGCUGUAAGGCUGGAAGAGGGGCCUCAACUUUAGCAACCUAGACGCCUUGGGGGCUGGAGCUACCCGACUUGAAGCUAUUCUCAGCGGAGGAGGGGGAGACGAUAAAGGGAGACGAGGAAAGAAGGAAGGAGAGAGCCAGAGCCAGUCUAACAUUCCUUUGUCCUGGAUUCAUCAACAGUGCUCCCUACAGGAAAGUAGUUGGAUCCUUUGACCCUUCAAAAGAUGUUUUCACUCUACCUUUUCCCUUUUGUUCUGCAGUGUAACAAUGCUGGGCUUUGAGUUCCAAAUUUUAUAAACAAUUGGAUGCUGUUUCACAUGUUUAUUCCAACAAUAAUCUUUUCAACAAAUUCUGGAUUUCUGUUCCCCUCUGUAUGAGUGUCUGUACAUGUGUGCAUACAUACUUUCCGUAUCUGUGUUUUUUAUAUAAGGAGAAGGAAUAAUAUUUUUAAGUGAAGAUAAAUUUCCUCACAUCAGCAACCUGAAAAAUGUGAUUUGUCACAACAAGGGUAGAUACACAUUCAAGUGUUUGCAAUAGGGACACUGUUUUUUUUAUAAAUAUUGGAAAUACAAAAUGUAUAACUUCGAACACAUUCAAUUAAUUGACAGCACCAUUGUACUAAUGUUACUUCAGAAAUUUAGUUUUGAUAAUUCAUUAUACAUAGCAAUAAAGAUUUUGAUGGAAGCUCUUGUAUUUCCUUGCAAGUAAGAGUUAUUAUAGAAAGGUUAGUGAGUGUUAAAUAAAUUAUCAUGUUUAUUGUUAUUAUUAUUAUUAUUAUUAUUUAUUUUUUUUCUUAAAUUAACCUGAUAAUUUUACAAGAAGAAGAAGAAGAUAAUUACUCAAGUGCAAAGAUUGAAUAUGGCUUACUUAUGUUGGUAGUUGGAUAAUUCAUGUCAAGGAAUUCUGAAAUAUUGUUUCACCUUUAAGUGUUAUAUGUACUUUUCUAAUAUGGCAAGUGAUUCAUAUGACGUCAUGUGUAAUAGGUGGUAAAAUAUUGUUGGUUACAGCUUCUAACUUACCAACAUUUUACCGAGUGUUGUAAUUUCCUUGUUGCUGAAUUAAUUUAUAACUAGUUUUUCAUUAAUAAAAUCAUUUUCCCGAAAUUUUCAUUCAAUGGAAAUGACGACCAAUUCACAGACUAUAUAUAUAUAUAUAUAUAUAUGAAUGAUUGCAUCUUAAAAUAUCUAGAAGACCCACAUAUAAAUAUAUAUAGGCUAGAAAUGGACACCUUAUACACAGAUAGCACCAUCAAAACCUGAGGGCCAAGUUGAUACUAAGGACAAGUCCAAAACAAGAGGGGUUUGUCUUUUGUGUGUUCCCUCGUUUGGGAUUUUCUCCCAUCUGAGGGAAAUGUUUCGGAAUGGAAAGAAAAUUUGGACGAGAGGUUUGGGAUGGGGACAAGAUGCACCCUUGACCCUACCUAGGCCCAGCUGGCAACUUUGCGCAGCGUAGCUUUACAAGGAAAUAUAGACAUUAUCCUUUCCAAGCGAUGAGGAGGCAUUCUUCUCAUUAAAGCAACAGAGAAAAGUGGAAGGGAAAGAGGAAAGGGGGAAGCGGAAGUGGUGAGCGAGGAGAGCCUGAGGAAGGCCAUUAGCAAUCAGUGGUGGCAGCCUUCAGCGAUGGUGGCGGAUGACGAGAUAUAGUCCUUUUUCCCUUCUUGGCCCUUCUUGACCAGCCUGCGCCGCUCCUCGUGUCAUCACUUCUCUUCUACUCUUGCUGCCUCUACUCUCGUCUCCACUCCCGUAUUCUACACUCAGCUUUUCUUUUUCCUUUCUUCCUUUUAUUUUUUUGUAUUCCUUUUCCUUCUGUCUUCGCUGCUACUUGUCUUUACUGUACUCUAAUCUGUAGAAUCCCAAGAUGUGUCUAUGGUACCGUCCUCUUGAUUGAGAGUUCUUCAAUCAUACUUCUCAGCCUGGGAUGAUAACUCCUCACCAUCCAUCAAUAGCAUUGUAGGAUUUUGGAUAAUUUGAAGAUAGUUUGUAGAUUGGCCUUGAAUCUUAUUGGCUCUAAUGGGUUUUCAGUUAUCUGAACAUAAAAUGGGUACACCAAAAAAUUGCAGACUAUGGUUUGAAUUCACUUUUGUUUAAUUUGUUUUUGGGAGCAUACAGAUCAGAAGUUUAUUACAAAAAAAAUACAAUACUAUAUGAAGGUGUCUGGUAAUUAUUUGGCCUACAUGCCAGGAAAUUGUCAGUCACUACCUAUGUUGUGUCAAAUUCACUCAGGAAGAUUCCAGUCAUGGAUUGAAAUUGCUGAUUGAGAAAGUUUGGCGUGGAAUGUAUGAGGGAACUUAGGGAACCCAAGCAUCGGCUGAGGAAAUCAACUUUUGAUUGUAUAGCAACUUUUGAGUCCCUUCCUUUUAUCAAACAGCCUCCAAGACAAUGCAAUUUCAUACCAUUACAAUGGUGGAAGACAAUCAAUUUGGUGGCAAGUUAGUACUACUUAGGGCCUUCUUCCAUGCAUGAUUGGUGGGGAAAAUUGAAGCCAGAGUCUAAAAUCCUUCCUCAAUUUUUGAUACAUCAUCACUUUUAGUAAUAGGGCUGGUGACUUGCCCUUAACCAAUUACACAAAGCAAAAAUGGUAGGUUGAAUACUCCACCAAUGCAUUGGUAGAAUUUUGACUUGCAAUAGUAAGUCAUUAGGUCUUUUUAUGGCUUUCUAUGAAAUGUCACUUGCCUAUUUAAGAAAAAAAAUUUAAACACUUUUUACUUCUUUUGAACAUUGGAAAGUGUGGUUGGAGGUGAAGAAGCUUGAUGUGGAUGUGGAGAAAUUUGGAGCUUGUAGAUUUGGAACUUGUGAAGGUUAAGCUAAAAAAAUAAGGUUAAUUUGGAUUUUUCUUUAUAUAUUUUAAUAUAAUUCACAUAUUUUAAGAUAUUUAUGUUUGUCACAUAGUGCUUGAGCUUAUAGUUAUUAAGUAAGAUUUUUUUAUUUUUUGUUUUUUAAAAUUGUUGUGAAUAAAAUUUUAAAAACUUUAUCUGUAUGUAAUGUUUGCAAAACUUAUCUAAUCUUUAAGUGUGAUAUCAUUUUGGAAAUGACACUUAAUAAUGAAGAGUGAAAUCAUAAUAAGGUUUUGUUUUAAUUGAAUAUGCAAAAGACAGUUGUGCAAGUCAUAGAAUCAAUUAGUAAAAGUUUAGGAAUGUGAUUUGGUUGGUCCAUUUAAGCAUGUCAAGAGAUGGAAAAAAAAGAAAAAAGAAAAAAAAAGAAAAAAAAAACAUGUGUAAGAUUGUAAUGAUUAACAUUCUUCAAAUGUUUAUUGCAAUUUUUUUUUUUUUUUUUUUUUUUUUUUGUAAAAAAUGGAUUUUCAAAGAUCUUUAAUUGAUCUCAUUUAGAAUUUUCAAUUAGUAAAUCUUGAAAUAUAAUCAUAAGAUGAGAUUGAAAUAGAAUAAGAGAAAGCUCAUAGUGGUAAAGUUGGUAGAGUUUACAAAAUUAAGAGAUUGUUAUUAGUAGAGACUUUAUUGUUGUGUUAUUAUAAGAAGGUGGAUUUUGUGAAAUAUAACCCAAUCAAAUUACAAUAUGUGCAAAUGACUAUGGGACCAAAGUAGUGGAAAGUCAUAGCAAAUGGUUUGUAGAGAAUGAAUAUGCAUAGAAUCUAAUAACAAAUUCAAGAUAAAUAGGAGUGAUUAUCACCAAACUUCAAGAAAUUACAUGACUAUGAAAAAAAAAUAUCAUUUAGUUAGUUGAGUUAUUUUUCUAUGAAUCCCUUGUACAGAAAAACCAUCAUGUAAGAUUUCUAAAGGCACCACAAGAUUAAACUAUCUACUUAGUAAUAUUGGAGUGGUUUCUUAAAACUUUGUAGUUGUCGAUACUUGAAGCUAUCUCCUUGACAAUAGAAUGACAGCACCUUUUAAUAAUAUAUUAUAAAACUUCUUAGUUGAUUUUUUGAAUAUUUUAUAUAGAGAUAUUUUUAUAUUUAUUUUAUAAAUAAAAUAUAAAUAUUUUUUGAUAUUUUUAUACUUAAUAAUGAUAUUUUAUGAAUUAUAGAUAAUAGUGAAUCAUUUAUUGAUUAUUCUACCAAAAAAUAUUGCUUAUCAAUGAAGGCUUCAAAUGAUACAUCAACUUCUAUGGAUAAGACUAGGCUUGAAUUUCUUAAAGCCAUUUAUAGCAGAUAUGAUCAUGAAAAUAUUUAUCACAAAGAAAUUAUAGACUUAGACAAAAAAAUAAAAAAUUGUAAUAAAAAGAAUUGUGCCAUCUUGAUAUGAUGAAACUUGAAUGUAAGACAAUAAAUAGUUUUAUUGCUAAGAAGCAAGGUUAUGUAAAUAUUCUUUUUAAUUUAAAUGAUGCCAUGAAAAGAAUUAAUAUAUUUUUUUUUGAAUAAGCAAUAUUUGGAGUCAUCAUCUAUGACUUACUCAUUUUAAGUAUGUUCUAUUAUAUCAAGAAAAUGACUACUAAGAAAUAAAUAAUAUUUUAUGUAUAAUUUUUUAAUUGGCUAUUUUUUAUUUUAUUUUUUUGAUAAUAUUAAUGAUUGAUUUUCUUAAAAUUUACAUUUAUUUUUAGUUUAAAAUUAAUUACUAUAUUUUUUUAUGAAGGUCAUGCAACUUAGAUAAUUCCAAUAGUAGACUUGAAAUUGCUCUUAUAGAGGUAGUAAGAUCACCAAUUGGAACUACGGUAUAAUUGACAACUCAUAAAAUAUUUGAAAAGAGUCAAACAAGCAAAAUACCAAGAGAAUCAACCUUGAUAAUUUUAAAAUAUAAAAUAAAAGCUGAUUUUUUAUUUUUUUAUAAUUUUUUAUCAUUCAUUUACUUAUGAAAUUUGAAUAAGUAUUUUAAGAAGUAUUUAUUUAUAUGGUUGACAAGAAUAAUAUAUUUAGAUCAAAGUGUGGUCUUUAUUAUAUCAAACCACAUACAAUUUAUAAGUAAAAAUAAUUUGUGAAAUAAGUGAUGUAAGAAGAUUUGGAAGAUUUUUGUCAAUUUUUUUGAUUAUUUGUUUUAACUAUUUUACAUGUUUGUGAUUUAGUAUAUAAAGAAUCUUCUACAUGGACUAAUUAAUAUUAUAGGGCGACUAAUAAGUAUGUCUAAUUUUUUUUUCAUUAUAUUGAGAAGACUUGAAACCAAAGACACUUAUAAUUCUAUAGAUAGAAUUUUUGGCAAUGAUGACUCAAUAAGUGUGAAAUUUUAUAAGUAAUUUAUUAUCACUUUAAUCGAAAUUAUUUUUCCUUUAUAUUUAAAAUGGCUAAAAAAAUAAGAUUUAUUUAAAGUAAAACUUAGGUUUGAAAAUAUCCAUGGUAUACUACAAUGUUGUGGUGUUUUUAAUUGUUUUCAUGUCCUAUUUGAUCUAUCUUAUAAGAUCCAAAUCAAUAGAUUGGUACAAUUAUAAUCAUAAUUAUUUUACAAUAAUUUAAGAAAUUGUAGAUCAUAAAGCUUAGUUUAUAGAUAUUUUUAUGGACAUCCUUGAAUUAAUAUAUGAUUCUUAUAUACUUCUAAUAUCAAAUCACUUCAAAGAUGUAAUUGUGGAAAAAUCAUUGAAUGGAAGAAGAAUAAAAAUUGAAGAUAUUGAUAUUAUUAAGUUGAUUAUAGUCAACGCAAGCUAUAUUGGUGAUAAAAACCUAGAAUGAAACUUUUUAGAUUAUAUGAUGAGUUUAACUUUAAGCACUUAUCUAUAUAUAUAUAUAUAUAUAUAUAUAUAUGAUAAUUGAGCAUUUAUUUAGAAUUUUGAAAGGAAUGUGGAAGAUUUUACAAAAUCCUAUAAAAAAUCUUGACUUGAAAAGAAUUCCAAGCUUGAUAUUGGCUUGUUGUUUGCUCUAUAAUAUUGUCAUAGAUAGAAAUGAUCUCAUUGAUAAGUCUAUUAUUUUUUGGAGAUACCACAACUUAAGAUAUAGAAAAAAAGUAGUGAAAAAUGUACCCAAAGUAAUUGUGAACAACCACAAAUUGUUAAGGAUAUAAAUCUCAAAGAAAGAAAAUCCUCAAUACACUCUUUUAUCACUGAAGAGAACUAGAAAGUCAUUCAAAAGAUGAUAUAAUAUUAACUAGAAAGGCUAUUGCCAAAAACAAGAAGAGUAGAAAGUCUUGAAACAAGACUAAGACUAGAAAGGCGUUGACAAGAGUGAAGAAGGCUUCACUCCUGCCUCUAUAUAUACUAUCUAACUAAGAGCUACGUGGUGAUGUCCUAUAGGACCUCCAACAUGUGUUGACUUUGCUAGCCACAUGUUUUAUCUUGUAAGAUAAGUUAUCUAUGUACACGCCACGUAGUUGGCUUGUUCUACAAGUUACUACAUGGAGAUAACUUGUUCCACAAGCUACUAAUACAUGGUUAGCUUUUUGGCCAAGUUUCUGACCUACAAACACAUCUAAAGUCAAAACCACGUCUAUGAAGCUUUUAAGAAGCUUUUCUAGAAGACUUUAUGAAAUUAUUCUAUAUUUAUCUACUUCUACUUAAUCAUAUAAGUAAUUAUUGAGGUAAAUAUAUAUGUCCAUGAUAUUAUCCUCUCUUCUAGGGACGAGUUCCAUGAGGAGCGGUCUUCGUAUGUUAAAGAAGUCCAAAAUGCGGCAAAUUAUAUUUGUUACAUACUCCAAUCUUUGCUCCCUUCGAAGAUGGUUGAUAGGUCCUCUCAACCAUGUAUAGUGUCCUAUACUAGGGCAAGAAGAUCACCCUGUUAUUUGGUCAUUGUUGAGGUGUUCAUAACUUCCUUCAAAUAAAAUAUUUAGAACACCGUUAGGAGUUGUUUUCACCUCUAAUAAAAUUACUAAACAUCGAAAGUCUCUUCCAAGGUUUUGAUACCAAAUACGUUGUAUCUCGCCAUCUAUUUGAAAAAAGACAUGUCGUUCUUGAGGAUCUUUAUCUUGAUUCCAUCGUCUUGAAGGUUGUAACAAUCACAAUGUCUCGUUUGGUAAGUCCGCAAAUGAAAGCUCUUAAGUUAAAUCUGCUGGUUGUUGAUGCUCCAUCUCAUCACAAAUACAUAGAAGCUAUACUGAAAGAUAGAAGGUAGAAUAUUAUUUUCCUUUGAUCUUGAUUUAUAGCAAAGGUUUGCUAUUCUUCAUGUUAGUUUUGAUGGAUGUCGUUGAUGAAAGACUUCAACUUUCUUUGCUACAUUUACAAGAUUCUUUGAUGGCUCCUAUGUGCAUUCACUAAUAUCAUAUUUGUGCCAAUGAACAAGAUAUUCGAACCUAUUUUGGUGCCACCUUGAGUCUAAGACUUCUUCUACCUCAAACUCUUGAUUAUUAUCCACUUCUAUAGGAGGGAGGUGGCAUUUGUCUUCUUUCCAAGAUAUUCAAUGUCUUAUACGGCUCCAGAAGAGACACGUGAAAUACAAGGUGGAUCUUCAUAGACUCCAAUAGAUAUAAUCGAUAGGCAACAAGAUUGAUUUAUUCACAAAUAGGAAAAGGUCCUAGCCUACGAUAAUCUAAUUUAUCACAAGGACGAGUAGUCUUGAUAUUACGAUGAAGUAAGCAUACCUUGUCACCUAUAUUAUAUUGUAGUUACUCCUUGCAAUAAGCAUCUACGUUGAUCUUUUGUCAUUCUUAAGCUUCCUGUAAUUGUAUCUUCAUUGUUGUAUGUAGCUCUGACAAGCGAUUUGCUAAAUCUUCUGUCGUAAGAUUAUUAACUUUUAAAAAGUCAAAAGUAUCAAGACAUGGAUGAUAACCAUACUUGGCAAAGAAAGGUGUUUAUUGAGUGGAAGAAUGUACCAAAUUAUUAUAUGCAAACUUUGCCAAUGGUUAAAGAAUUGUCCAAUCAUCUUGAUAAUAGUUGAUGGUACAUUUCAAAUAUUGCUCUAGAACUUGAUUUAUCUAUUCCGUUUAUCCAUCAGUUUCAGGAUGAAAAGUUAAAAAAAGUUUUAUAUCCACCUUUAGAAUCUUGAAUAGGAUUCUCUAAAAUCUUGAUACCAAUUGAGUCCCCCUAUCCAAUAUAAUAUCCUUUGGUAAUCCAUGAUAGCAAUAGAUAUUGUGAAUGAAAAGCUUAGCUAUUUCUUUACAUGUGAUAGAUUUUGUACAUAGUAUAAAAUAUUCCAUUUUGGUAAAACGAUCUACUAUCAUGAAUAUAGAGUCAUAAGAACCUGAGAUUGGAAGACGUGUGAUGAAAUCCAUAGAAACAAAAGACCAUAGUUGUUCUGAAAUGGAUAAUGGCUAAAGAAGUCCAUAAGGUUGAUGACGAGGAGUUUUUGAUCUUGAGUAAACAUCGUAAGAUUGUACAAAAUCUUUGACUGCCUUUCUCAUUUGCGGCCACCAAAAAUCCUUGGAUAUUAGUUCCAAAGUUUUAUUGUACUCAAAAUGUCAUGUUGUUGAAAAGUCAUGAAGAGCUUGAAGAACACAUAAUCGAGCUUCAUCUUUUGGAACAUAUAGGCAUCCUUCAAAAUAUAAUAGAUUAUUCUUGAAUUCAAACUUGAAAGUAUCAUGUGACUUAGAGGAAGUAUCCUUGAUAUCCUAAACAAGAGGAUCAAAGGAUAUGCUUGAUUGAAUUUACUUCACAAAUAUUGAAUCAACAGUCAAUGUUGAAUCAAUAGUCAAUGUUGAUUUUAUAGCUCAAAGAUGAAAAUACUUAGGCUUCAAGAAAAUUGAUCUUUGUUAAUCAAAAGAUGCAUCUUCUUCUUUUGAUACAAGAUAAGAACGUCUAGAAAGAGGGUCUGAUAGACCUUGUUGUUUUUUGGGUCAAUAAGUGAUCUUGAAAUUGAAUUUAGAUAAAGACAUGCUCCAACGGGCUUGACAACAAUUCAAGACACGUAUUGACAUGAAAUACUCGAGGUUCUUAUGAUUUUUAUAUAUGGUAACUGAACUUGAGGUGCCUUCUAGAUAAUGACGCUAUUCUUGAAAUGAAUCUACAAUUACAAGGAGUUCUUUGUAAUAGAUUUCAUAAUUAAUCUUGGCUGCUAAAAAUUUCCUUGAAUGAAAAGCUAUUGGGUGGAGUUUGUCAUCUGUUCCCAUUUGUGAUAACACGGCACCUACAGCAAAAUCUGAUGUGUCUGUUUCUAUAAAAAAUGUCAUGGAGAAGUCAACGCAAUAUAAGAUUGGUACAAAAAUAAAUUCCUUUAAAGCAUCAAAUGAUGCUUCUGUUUCUUUAUUCUAUUCAAGUUUGUCUUUACAAGUCAAACGUAUAAGUGGAGCUGCAACUUGAGAAAAAUUCUUGAUGAAGAUUUGAUAGUAUUUAACAAAGCCUAAAAAGUAUUGCACAUCUCGUACUGAUCUUGGAAUCUUCUAAUCCAUGAUAGUUUGAACCUUCUUAGGAUCCAUCAUAAGACCUUCGUUGGAAAUGAUGUAUCCUAAAAAUUCAACUUUAGUAGUGUGGAAUAUACACUUUUUCAACUUGGCAUAUGAUCCUGCAUCUCUAAGUUUCUGUAACACACAACAAAUAUAAAGCUCAUAUUCUUAUGUGUUCUUAGAGUAGAUUAGAAUGUCAUCUAAAUAGCAAACAAUGAAAUCAUCUAAAAACUCACAAAAAAUAUCAUUCAUAAGAUAUUGAAAAGUGGCCAGUGCAUUUGUGAGUCCAAAAGGCAUGACAUUAUAUUCAAAAUAUCCAUACUUAGUUCAAAAAGAAGUCUUCCAUUCAUCUCCUUUUUUGAUACGAACUAAGUUGUAUACUCUUCGUAGAUCUAUUUUGGUAUAAAUCUUUGCUUGAUCGAGUUAGUUAAGAAGUCCUGAAAUCAAAGGCAAAGGAUACCUAUUUUUGAUGGAGAUCUUAUUGAGUCCUCGAUAAUCCAUAUAUUCAUAGAGAUUCAUCUUUCUUCUUCACAAAUAAGAUAGGAGCCCCGACUGGAGAUUUAGAAUGGCAUAUGAAGUUCUUUGCCAAAUUCUCAUCAAUGUACUCCUUUAAUAUAGGUAAUUCAUUCUGCGAUAAGCUACAGAUUAGUCCGAAUGGUGAUUGAGUUGCUUCUUGCAGAUCAAUUGAACAAUCAUAAGGUCAAUGCUUGGGGAGAAUAUCUAUAUUUUUCUUUUUAAAAACGUCUUGGUAUUCUUGAUAUUGAUUAGGAAUACCACUUGACGUUGUUUCACCAUUAGAAAUGGGUGUAGCAUAUAUAGCAAAAGAUGAUCCUUCUUUUGUAGCAUGCAUGAAAACUUUUGCACCUACUAAUAAAUGUUUGGACAUAUUAGACUUAUGUACUUCUACUUUAUUAAUGCGAUCUUUGAUUAUACUAUCAAGAAAGUUAAGGUUAUGAGAAAUCCAAUCUAUUUGAAAAUUAUAUUUUUCUACCAUUGAUAAUCCUAAAAUAACCAGAUUAAAGGGAGAUUUUAUUACAUUAGAUAGUACUAUACUGUUAUGAUCUUUAAUUGCUAUAUCUAAAGGAAUAGUUUCAUGGAUAACAUUUCCAGAAGACAACAAACGACCAUCUAUGACUUCUAUAUAUACACAUUUAACUUUCUUCACUAAAGGUAUUUUUUGAUUUUUGGCAAAAUCUUCAUCUAUAAAACAUGUUGAGGCUCUUGAAUCUAACAAGGUAAAGACUUUGUAAUUAUUAGGUCCUAAAUAUACUUCUAUUAUAAAAUAAGGUGAGGGGUCUGAGGAGAGGAUAUGAUCUUUAUUAGGUGUUGCAAAUGAUUCCAGUCGCACAAUCCUUAUUGUAGCUGGAAAAAUUCGUUUUCCGACACAUUUUCUUUGGUAAUUGUGCUCCUCAUUUUGUAAUUGCAUUACUUCUUUAGACAAUGUUGAGUAGUGUAUUUAGCUUCUCCACAAUAUAAAUACAACUCCUCUUGGCAACAUCAAGUCUUUUCUUGCUUUAUGAGAGGUUUAAAAUGUAUCAUAUCAAUUUGCACUGGUUCCAACUUUGACAAAUAUGUUUCAGAAAACUUGAGAGAUGUUGCCAUUACUUGACCUGUUCCUCUUCAACCAAAUCUUUAUUCUUGAUGUCUUUCAAAUAAAUGAUUGUCGCAUGCAAUGGCUUGAGUAAUAAAUUGUUUCAUAGAUUCUACUUUUGGCAUUGCUAAUAACAAAUCUUUGACGCUAUCCUUCAACCCAUAUCAAAAUUGGUUGAUAAGUGCUUUGUUGUUCGAGUCCAUGUUGCAAGCGAGAUUUUAGAAUUUGACAGUAUAUAUAGUGGUUGAUCGUGAUGCUUGUCGUAAAGAUAAAAACUUGGUCUGUAUUGCUCGUUCUCAAUCACUUUCUUCAAAUAUCGUUGUAAACACUUCUAGGAAUGAAUUCAAAUUAUAAAGGAGUCGUGAAUCUUUUUCCAUUAAAGGUGUAAAUCAAGAGAAAGCACUUCGUGAUAGUAGUGCGUCUAUGAAUCCAACUUGGAUAAAUCCAUCAAGAUAUUGGAAAGGAUGCAACUUUAGAUAGAGCUUGACUUGUUGCAAAAAUCUUCAAAAUUUUGACCUUGUUCCAUCAAACUUCUCAAGCAUACUAAUCUUUGUCCUUGUCAUACUUGUAGAAGCAAAACUCCAUGAAUUUGGUUGUGACGUUGAUCUAUUUGCUUCUUUUAACUACACAACUUCUUGUCGUAGACUCUGAACUUCUUCUAUAGGCGUAGGCAUAGUACUUCCAUGCUUCACAUUGGAAAUACGUGAGAUUUCCACUCUUAGAGUGUUGACAAGCUCAUGAAGAUUUGUCAUAGUUACAAAUCUAUUCUCACUUCCGUUGAGAGUAGUAUCCAUAAACUUUCCUUCUAUAGACAACUCAAAUGAAUUCAAAAGUUAAAUUAGAAGAGGAUAAUCCGGAACCUCUAAAAACAAAUACCUCAAAGAGAGGUAAUCUGCUCUCUUUAAGGAAAGGAUUAGUGUUAGAAAAUAAGAUUUUUUGUUUAAAGGUAGGUAGUCCACAACCUUCAAAAUAUAAUAAUAGAAGUGGAAUAAUCCACUCACUUCUAAAAAAAGAUAAAAAUAAUAUGUUAGCACUCUUGUCAAACUGUGAAGGACAUGAAUCUCAAAGAAAGAGAAUCCUCAAUACACUCUUCUAUCACUGAAGAGAACUAGAAAGUCCCUCAAAAGAUGAUGUAAUAUUAACUAGAAUGGCUAUUGCCAAAAACAAGAAGACUAGAAAGUCUUGAAAUAAGACUAAGACUAGAAAGGCAUUGACUAGAGUGAAGAAGGCUUCACUCUUGCCUUCAUAUAUACUAUCUAACUAAGAGCUAUGUGGCGAUGUCUUAUAGGACCUCCAACAUGUAUUGACUUUGCUAGCCAUAUGUUUUAUCUUCUAAGGCAAGUUAUUUGUGUAUGCACCGUAUAGUUGGCUUGUUCCACAAGCUACUACACUGAGAUAACUUGUUCCACAAGCUACCAAUACAUGGUUAGCUUUUUGGCCAAGUUUCUGACCUACAAACACAUCUAAAGUCAAAACCACAUCUAUGAAGCUUUUAAGAAGCUUUUCUAGAAGACUUUAUGAAAUUAUUCUAUAUUUACCUACUUCUACUUAAUCAUAUAAGUAACUAUUGAGAUAAAUGUAUAUGUUUGUGACACAAAUGGUAAUUGUAAGAAAUUUGUAUCAAUUAGAAGCAAUGGCCAUUUCAAUAAAUAAAUUUUGAAAGGGCCUAACAUUGCUUGAGGUUCAAACUUUGUUUUUUAAAUUGAUUUUUGGACUUGUACAAUUUUCUUUGCAUCCUCAAUUGAAACAAAAUCUCAUUAUGAUCUUGCUUUUUAUUGUUAAGUGCCAUUUUCGAAAUAAUAUCACACUUGAAGAUUGGAUGAGUUUUGUAAAAGUUAUAUAUGGAUGAAGUUUUUAAAUUCAUCCAUAAUGAUUUAAAAAAUUAUACUUAACAACUACAAGCUCAAGGGAUAUGUGACACAAAAUGAAAAUGUAUUAUAAUACGUAAAUUACAUAAAUGAGGAAAGUAAAAGUAUUCUUCUUCAUGAAUAUAUUGCAAGUACGCCCCAAAUCACAUAGUGCUUCACUCCCUUACACAUGGAAGUGCAAAAUUUGAAAUUGGGUGGACUUUGAUUUGAGGGGAUCACUGGAUGUGGGUAAUGUCCAAGAAUAACAUUGUCCUCCUAUUGAGCAUGGUAUGGUAGGAGGCCCUUACAGGAGUGGAUAGGGGAAUCAGUCUGGGAAGAUUUCCUGUGCCCCAUUGGAUCAGGGGACGACUGAUCACGCACACUCUGUGCAGAGUAGCAGCCGAGGCGAUUAUCACCUGCCGUGUAGCACAUUAGUAUAGAAUCAGAAGUCCUGUAACUCUACAGUAAUGUGCGUAGGGUAGGGCUGUAACUUUGGGGGUCGGUGGCGGGGCACGCGCUGUUGUGCGGUGGACAGGUACUGUGUUACCUUCCCCCCACUUCCCCACCGCUGCUCCCCCCCAAUCCCAUGAUUCAUCUUGCGGAUGGCGGACAAGCUCUGGAGGUUGUCUAGUGGACUAGCGUUGCCUGGUAGAUGGCAUGUCAUCCAUACCCCAUCAGCAGUGGAGACGCGUUGUGCGCCGCACUAGAUACAACAUAAUAAAAUGCGGUACUUACUACCAGGUGUGGGAAGCAAAGGGGACUGUGUCCAUAGUCCGUCACCGUUGCAAAGCUCUGUUGGUCGGUGUAUCUGGUGAUGGAGCAAUUAUAAACACGGCGAUGCACAUGACCAGACGCCAGUCAACCGUCUUUGUCAUUACGGUCAACCGAUCGCUGUGCGAUGCCUGCAACGUCCUUUACAGAGGACGAGCAAGACCUGUCCUUGAGAGUGCUACCGUGACACAUGUCAUGUUACUAUCGUCCAUUCGGAGCACCCAGUAUCAUCUAAUUAGCGGUCGGAGGUGUGCCUUGUUUCUCAAGCGCCAACACUCGACAAGUACAGAGUUCGCGGAGAUCAUAGUUAGCUUCGGUUGUUUUCGUGCUUUGUCUUUCGAACUGGUGCGAAGUGUGACUCUAGAGUUGGUUGGAGGGUGGUGGGUCAACUGCCUAUAUAUCUAAAAUCGACUAGUACGACUUGCCGGCACUCGCUUGAAUGGAAAGCUUGGCCGGCACCGAUACCAGUACGUGCGGAUAUAUUUUGAGCGUAUCGUAAUGAUUUUGAGCUACAAGGAAUCAGCAGCACCACAUUUAAGAAUGGGUGAGAAUCUAUCUGGGGGCACGAGAUAGAGUAAAGCAGCGAAUUGGAGGACGAUUGCCUCUAAUUCCACGUAUUGGCGCGGUAGUUUUGUUCUUUCCAGGUUGUCGUGUGAACUAAACCUUGUCUCAUGGCUAGUGCAAAUCAACUGGGUUAUAAAAUGGCAGCAAUCCACCUAGAUCACAGUACCCAGUAACCAGUGAGCAAAGGAGGCAGAAGUGGAACUCGAACAGGCAUAAUUAUAUGCACAGAACAAGCUGAUAGAGAAGAAGGGUACGGCAAGCGAAUUAAUUACAUCACGAUAGACAACGGCAGCUAGGAUGGUGGACUCGCAGGGAGAGGAGCAGCGAAUGGCGCGGGCAAUGCAGGAGAUAGAGAAGCUGGUGCAGGAAAAUGCUGUGGUUGUGUUCAGCCAGAGCGGGUGCUGCAUGUGUCAUGUGGUAAAGCGUCUCUUCUGCAGUCUGGGAGUGGGGCCAACUGUGCACGAACUCGAUGAACGGAAGGAAGGUGGCGACAUGGAGAAGGCAUUGCUGCGCCUCAACAACAAAGUUGCGCUUCCUACCGUGUUUGUGGGCGGCAAACUGGUGGGGGGCGUCGAUGCUGUCAUGGCUGCCCACGUGAGUGGGAACCUUGUCCCCCGCUUGAAGGAAGCCGGAGCUCUUUGGCUGUAGUCUCUCCCAUUUUUUCGCUCUUUUGAACUGCUGGCAUAGUGUGGACUUGAGGUAACCGUCCCUGUUGAGCUCUGGCUUCCUUGUAGUGAACUCCGACACAUAGUCGACGGUGGGUAGUUGCGUCUGAAUACCAUGAAGAUUUCUCAAGUCGAAUUGCACGCAUGGCAUGCGGUACUGUCGACGAACUCUGGAACAUCUGCUCACAACUUUUUAGACGAUUAUUGGAAAGGAAAGUCCCUUCCAGUCUUCAGUGAUUGUCGGCUACUUAUUUAUAACUUGUACUACGUAUGCUCAUCGGUAGUUGGCUAUGUUCGAAACGUUUUCCUCGUCCUCCACUGCAGGUACGGACCUCCAGAAAGACAGAGAUAUAUAGAUAGAUAGAAUAGCCUGUAUACUCGUGUGCCGUAUAUUAAUGUAUACGCUGCAGUUUGUAGUACGGUCAUCGUCCGUGAUCGAUUGAGCGAGGAGAUCAUGUGCGAAAAUAUAGAUGAGACGUGUUGGGAGUAAAAUUUGUUACGCGUGACUUCUCUAGAUUUCGUUCUCAACAUGCCCUUCUCAUGUUUUGUAAAGAGAUUGAAUAGAUAUUUGGAUCAGUAAGCACUGUAACUAAUUUUAAGUAUAAGAUCAUGAUCAAGAAUGAGAAUAAUGUGGAGCAAGUGUAGGGACGUAUUGUCUGCCGUCAACUUCUGAGUCGUAACAUUAGCAAUGAGCAACUCUGUUACAAUCGUGCAGCAGUGCCAACUUCCAAGUGUACUUUGUAAGUCAAACGGGGGAUUCAACUGAAUGAUGGAUGAUUGUUAAUAGAAACAGUGCAGUACAUCUUGGGGAGUGAGUGAUUCUGAAAACCACGAGUAUUUAGAAUAGUUGAAGUAUGAAAGAAAGACGAAGUAUGAAAGUCUGUAUUUCAGAGAGGAUGUUUGAAAAUGGUUGGUGAGAUUGCUUCUCCGCAGACGGGGGAGUUUCUGGCGCAGUGUUACCAUGAGAACCGACUACCGUGGACGGCAUUAUUUUAAAUACACAAGUUCAUGUGAAUUCGUGUCACAACCAUCUACUUCAGAAUAAGUUCGCAUCUUAAUCGAUGUUGUCAAGUAGUACCCUUCUCAUUCAUACAAAUUGGUUGCAAAAGCGGAAUAAACUCGAAUCUCAUCCCAGCAAUCUUCCCCAACUGAUCCGCAAUCUCAAAUUACAAGUUUCUUCGGGUCACCAGAAUAAUCCUACGUGAAGAAGUUUUCUUUUUAUCUCAAUCGUGAGGAACAAAACAUGAUCACUAAAUCUGAAGUUUGCUCCAAACUCAAACUGUCUCAACUCUUCUAAAUUCAAUGGAUAAUCAUGUUUUUGCACAUGAAAUUGCUACAGUAACCUGUCUUUAACCCUGAUGGAAGUAUAUUGUAGGAGAGUUACUGUAUCAUAAGAUCACCACCAUAUUUCUGGUGCACUAUAUUUGAGUCGAUUAUUUUGACAACUGAUCAGGAAAUAAACCCGUAUUCCUCAUGUGUGCUUCGAGCUCUCCUUCGAACCGUACGUGGUCUAUUAAAAUUAGGAUGAAACGAGUCCUUCACAACCCUAAAUCUAUCUGAAAAUUCCUAGUCUCUCGA
rnacentral:lncRNA from 1 species